rnacentral:rRNA from 1 species
AUGCUUCUUAAAAAGCCGCUAGCCCGGAGAGUGCAUCUCACCCGUUCCAUGUACAUGAAGGCGGUUCCCCCGUGGUGCAACAACAAGAUUCCUUGCUACCAGCAAAUCAUAUCCAGGUGGAUAAACCCAGAGUGGAGGGCCACAUACAGAGCAGCUUCGGAGCGACGUGCCUUGAUGGGUGGUCCGGUACACCUUCAAGGCAACCUCAACCUCCAUGCUUACGUGCAGAAGAAGAAUAGGGAGAGAGGUGAGGGUGAAGAGCCGCUCAAUACCUUCACGGGAUUAUGUCUCUCCCGCAAGUCAAAGAAACCGGAAGGGGGGUGGGUCAACCCAGGGGCUGGAUUGAGGAUUGAUGCAUAUAGUGGGAAGUUCAAGGAGUGCAACGGGCCCGACUCUGAUCCAGCCUCACAGGACAUUGAUGUUACGGUUUCCCUCAAGUCAGGACAAGGCAAGAAGCGUGGACGAUUAUAUGUUGGUGACGGUUCCAUCCGUAAGAAGGACAUUCCAAAACUUGCCGACCUCCGUGCUACCACGUUGAGCUCAGGUCCUGCUAUUGAGCGUCGCCCAGAGCCUGGGCUGCACAUGAUGCAUCAAUUCCAUGCUCGCCUAGAGGAAGAAAGCAGGUUGCGGCUGGAGGCUCAGGCCAAUGCCCUACUUCAACAGGAGCAAGCCAUGAAAAUGCAGCAAGCCCUGUUUCAGCAGCAGGAAUUCAUGGUUAAACAGCAUGCAGCCCUGCAGGAGACGUUUGCUCGGUUCAAUGCUAAUAUGCAUUGUUCUACUUUGCCGGAUCUUCCUCCUAUUCCGCCGCUUCCUACUUUUAGCUUUUGUCCUCGGUCGGGAGAAGGCUCCAAUAACUUUGUGGUAGGUGGAUCUAACCUGCCCAAGCAAGCCCAGUGA